AGCAGUGGCCUGACCCUAAUCAUUCCUAGAGGUUUCUGCUUUUGGUUGGGUCCUAUUCUAAGAAAAGUGCUUUCUGGAUGACCCUUUCAUAAUUUUCUUUUUGUAUCUCCCUUCUUAAAGGAUUAUGAUAGUAGAGAUAAAAACAGAAGGACCAAUUGGAAAAAAAGAAUUAUGAUAAACUAUUUAUGGUUCUGUUAAAUACGACUUUUGUGAUUAUUGUUAUAAACCGUGUUUAGAGAGUCCUUUAACAUUUUCUUUUUAGAAAAGGGUCAGUAAAGGGGCGCCUGAGUGGUUCAGUUGGUUAAGCACCCGACUCUUGAUUUCGACUCAGGUCUGAUCUCACAGUUCAUGAGAUCGAGCCCCUCAUCAGACUCUGUGCUAUCAGAUUGUCUUUCUUGGGAUUCUCUUUCUCCCUCUUUCUCUCUGCCCCUUCCUCACUUGUGCAUGUGCUCUCUCUCUCUCUCUCUCUCUCUCAAAAUAAAUAAACUUAAAAAAAGAGAGAAAGUAGGUAAAAUUGUUCAUUGUCCUCUUACAUAACUGGAAAACUCUUCUGUUGGUAAAAAAAAAAAUCAUCUCUUCUUUUUAAAUUCUCAAACCUAUAAUUUUAACCUAGAACUCUCAUCUAUUUUCUGAUCUUGUUUUUCUAACCACUUAGUGUUACAUAUACAAUCCAACCUGUUCAAACCCAAAUCCAUCAUUUUAUUUACUCACCUUAAGCUGGUUUCCUGGUUGCUAUGCCUCCCAAUUUCCUCAUUUCUGUUCAUUUGUCUACUAUUGUAAAUGGUUUGUAGGAUAGAUGCUGUACAUUUUGUCUCUUCUUUAUUUCCUUUAUGUCAAAUGUCACUGUGUAUUGUGGUUUUAUUCAGUCACUCAUUUGUUCAUUCAACAAGCAUUCACUGGGCAUCUAUGACAUGCCAGGCACUGGGAAUACAAUGAUAAACAAGGUCCACUUUCUGUCCUCUAGGAGCCACUAGUAAACAAGGGAGAUGGAGACGUGAAAUGUGAUCGCGUUAUGUGAUGAGUGCCGAGUCGGCAUUCUAUACACUGAUGAAAAAUGAGAGUAUGUCCAGCAAGGCAAGCAGAGUUCUUUCAUGUUUUGAUAAGCUCAUGACUGUGAUACUCAACUGGAAUUUGUAGUCUUCUCUGAAGUUUUUCUGAAUUGCUACAGUCAUGGAGUGAUAUCUUCUUGGAGCCGAUUGUCUGAAAGUCAGCUGGGGACACGAAGUUGGAUUCGGGGAAACGACCUUCUGCAGGAAGAGCUUCAAAACAGUGCAACUCAGCUCGCUGUGAUUGUGUAUCUGAAAUGGAUUACGGAAGUCAAGCUCCAGAAGGGAGGAAGUUGAAUGGCAUACCGUUUUGCUUUCUUGAUCUACAUGUGAGCUCCUGGCUGUUCAGCCUGAGGUGCCCCUUGGAGGAGACGUGGAACCUGCCAUGCUAAGCCUGGAGGGAAAGUCUCUCUGAGAAGCUGUGCAUCCCCCAGGGGACCUCUUCUGGAAGGACACGGAGCGGUAGGUAACAGCACCUCAGGGUGGCCUCAUAGUGUCCUUUGUAGCACAUGGGGGAAACACAAAAACGUCCAAGGAAAUAGAUAACCAAUUUUAGUUUUGGAAAUACACAGCCUUUCAAAAGCACUGUUGACGACAACGGCCAGGGUACC